rnacentral:rRNA from 1 species
GACGAACGCUGGCGGCGUGCCUAAUACAUGCAAGUAGAACGCAGUUGCGAACGGGUGAGUAACGCGUAGGUAACUGCCUCAUAGCGGGGGAUAACUAUUGGAAACGAUAGCUAAUACCGCAUCCUGUGAGAUGGACCUGCGUUGUAUUGGCUAGUUGGUGGGGUAAAGGCUCACCAAGGCGACGAUCCAUAGCCGACCUGAGAGGGUGAUCGGCCAAACUGGGACUUAGACACGGCCCAGACUCCUACGGGAGGCAGCAGGAGGGAAGCUUCGGCAAUGGACGGAAGUCUGACCGAAGAACGCCGCGGGAUUGAAGAAGGGUUUCGGAUCGUAAAGCUCUGUUGUUAGAGAAGCGUUAACUAACCAGAAAGGGACGGCUAACUACGUGCCAGCAGCCGCGGUAAUAC